AUUGAACGCUGGCGGCAGGCCUAACACACGCAAGUCGAGCGGAUGACGGGAGCUUGCUCCUUGAUUCAGCGGCGGACGGGUGAGUAAUGCCUAGGAAUCUGCCUGGUAGUGGGGGACAACGUUUCGAAAGGAGCGCUAAUACCGCAUACGUCCUACGGGAGAAAGCAGGGGACCUUCGGGCCUUGCGCUAUCAGAUGAGCCUAGGUCGGAUUAGCUAGUUGGUGGGGUAAUGGCUCACCAAGGCGACGAUCCGUAACUGGUCUGAGAGGAUGAUCAGUCACACUGGAACUGAGACACGGUCCAGACUCCUACGGGAGGCAGCAGUGGGGAAUAUUGGACAAUGGGCGAAAGCCUGAUCCAGCCAUGCCGCGUGCGUGAAGAAGGUCUUCGGAUUGUAAAGCACUUUAAGUUGGGAGGAAGGGUUGUACGUUAAUACCGUGCAAUUUUGACGUUACCGACAGAAUAAGCACCGGCUAACUCUGUGCCAGCAGCCGCCGUAAGAC
rnacentral:rRNA from 1 species